CUCCUCACACCUGAGAGAACUGGAUCUGAGUAACAAUGACCUGCAGGACUCAGGAGUGAAGCUGCUGUGCGCUGGACUGAAGAGUCCUAACUGUCAACUCAACAUACUUGGAUUAUCUGGCUGUUUGGUGACAGAAGACAGUUGUGCUGCUCUGGCUUCAGCUCUGAGUUCAAACCCCUCACACCUGAGAGAGCUGGAUCUGAGCUGCAAUCAUCCAGGAGAUUCAGGAGUGAAGCUGCUCUCUGAAACACUCAACCAUCUGGACAAACUCAAUGUGGAUCAUGGAUGAGAAUUCAG